GCGGAAAUGGGGGAGGUGCCGCAGUACUGUUCCUGUUUGUCUUUGGUCUGUGGAAGAGCGGGCAAGCUGCCCAGGAUGACUGCGGGUUGUAAGAGACUGUUCUUUUAUAUCAUUUGACUCAAAGUUUGCCGAGGAGCAAGUCCAGGCAAGUCCUGGGCAAAGGUAGAGAAAUCUUCCGUCUGGAGGACACUGAUGGACGGGUCCUGGCUAAGCGUUGUGAAAUCCUCCAAGGAGCACAGAUGGACACGGCCAGGGGCAGCGAGAGAGAGAUGAGCUGCUGAUAACGGCCGGGAAACGGUCUUUGUGUGUGGGCUUACCUCGAGGAAGAUGGCCAUCUCAGGAGGUACGCACAGGGCUCUUGCUCAAGCACCCAGGGGUGUCAGUAGGCAGCAGAAAAUGGAGGAUAAAAGAGGGGCCAACAACCCCGACAGAUUGGGAGGGGUUUUCUGCCAUCAGAUCCCUCACCACGACAGACUGGAGAGGGUUUUCUGCCAUCAGAUCCCUCACCACGACGGACUGAGAGGGGUUUUCUGCCAUCAGAUCCCUCACCACGACAGACCAGUGAAGGGUUUCUGCCAUCAGAUCCCUCACCACGACGGACUCGAGGCUUUCUGCCUUCAGAUCCUUCUCUCCGGACCGUAUGCUGACGGACUUCCCUGGCCCUGCUACCUGAGACCUGCUGCUUCCUCCCUGACUUACUCUGCGGCUUCUUCCUGCACCCACCCGGUACUGCCCCCUCUGGUUGCCCAAGACCCCCCUCGCUCGCCUUCCCUUCCCCAUCGCCCCGAUCCGGAACAGUGUCCGUCCUCCCCUUUCUCCAUCUCCCUUAUUAACGUUUGUAAUAAACCGGUCGGACCAACAUUUGAACCGUUGUUUCUUAAUCUCACGCCGGGCAUACAUAUCUCAAAGAACCUCCUCUCCCUCCUACAAACUGGAGCAAGACAGGCACCUGAGCUGGGCCUCCUUUGGAGCGGCAGUAGCCCUAAUACCCUCGUGGCCAUACUCAGGUGUUUCCACAGCCACCAACCUCGUACCAACCCUCGUGUUCUUCGUACACGAGGCUGACUCCUCCUCCUCCUCCUUCACCAAGACACCAGGCUGGGAUCUCACCAGCGCAUCCCCCUCCUGCAAGCACC
rnacentral:lncRNA from 1 species